CCCUCUUUGCUGCGCUCAUCGGGGGUCAGACGCACGUACUGACUCGUAAGCAUUGUGCUGCCUUGGAAGUCCCAGAGAGGCAUGGAGCUGGAACCAACGCCUGUAGGCAGAGUGACGGACAUAAACAGGUUCCAGGCACCUGCCAGCCGGGCUCAGCAAUGGAUUCUUAGGCGCCACAGAGUUUCAGCCAAUCACAGAGCAGCACGUUAGGUCCAGUCGGAUUGAAGCAGGAGGAGCAGACCCAGGUCUUGGCCUGGGACCCUAGUGAUGGUUGGAACCUGUCUGAAUCCAAACCAGGACGGUGCCCUGUCUUGGAAGAAGCAUCCAUGAAAAGUUCGGCAAAAAUGGCUGUGGAUAAGAGAUUGAAACCAGUUCAAUAAAUGA